UCCGGUUUAUCACCGGCAGUCUCCACAGAGUUCUCGCCUCUACGCGUUAGUAACUGUGAACAAGGGUUGCGCUCGUUGCGGGACUUAACCCAACAUCUCACGACACGAGCUGACGACAGCCAUGCAGCACCUCUGUACCGACCUCCGAAGAGGGGCCCUCAUCUCUGAGGGUUGCCGGUACAGUUCAAACCCAGGUAAGGUUCUUCGCGUUGCGUCGAAUUAAACCACAUGCUCCACCGCUUGUGCGGGCCCCCGUCAAUUCAUUUGAGUUUUAACCUUGCGGCCGUACUCCCCAGGCGGUCAACUUAGUGCGUUAGCUGCGCCACUAAGGAUUCAAGAUCCCCAACGGCUAGUUGACAUCGUUUACGGCGUGGACUAC
rnacentral:misc_RNA from 1 species